CAUCCAUGCAUGAAUGGUGCGUCGGUGGACCGCUGAAUGGGCAAAGGAAGAGGCGUGUGCUCACACAGACUUCAUAGCAGCAGUGACACCAGGAGCAUCUCCUCGGCUGGACGUCUGUAUUGGGAGAAGACGACGAUAAGCAGAUAUCAUCUCAAAGAAGUUUUUCAAUUAAAAUCAUCCCUCAUAGCAGAAGUAAGCCAUGGAGCAAAAGACAAAUGAGUGCUCUGCCAGCACCUCCCCUCAGAAACGGAUGAAGAACCGCUCCAAGUCCAUAGAGGAGUCGCAACAGUCCAAAAGAGCCUUUUCUUCACAGAAAUCCCUUCCUGGAAGACCAGAGCUGGACAGAGUAAAGGAGUGCCUUGAAGGUUCUGAGACGCCUUCAUCCUCUACUGAAGAAUUGAAAGGAUAAUCAAAUUGUCAUUAGACGCAAAGAUGUACAUGCCAUAUGAUAUAUAGAACUAAAAUAAGUGACACAACUGUAAUGUAAAGCGAUACGACUUAAUUACUGCAACCUGCUACAUAUAUACUGUACAUUAUAAUGAGAACGCAUGUUAAAAAUAAAACCAAAAAAACAUGUUUUUAUUCUCCUGUUCUGUUAUAACUAUUACAAAUUGUGAAUUGAGAAAAGGUAAUGACAUUAGGUGUACUUAUUACUUUGUUCUAAAUACCAAGCCUAUGCGAGGAAGAGUUUUUUUUUGUUUUUGUCUAUGUUGUUUUUUCAAAAUGUGAUUUUUGUUGUUGUUGUUGCAUGCUGUAGCCAAUAAAAGAGAAGGAAAAAAAAGAUUUAGUCUCCUAACCUAUUUGCCUAUUUUCAGCAGAAUGUUGUUAUGGCCGAUGUGACAAUUUUUGGUUUCAUAUUGUAUAUUGUAUAUUCUUUGUUGCAACAAUUUUUUAAACACUUAAUUUGUCCAAAAUAUCAGAAGCCACAGUCAGAAUGUUGCUGUGCAUAUUUAAAGCAUUUUUAAUGUAGAGCAAACUCACAGUGCUUUUCAAAGGUGAUCUUUUUUUCUGUUUUUAAAUUUACUUCCUG